rnacentral:rRNA from 1 species
ACUGCUCAGUAACACGUGGAUAACCUGCCCUUGGGUCCGGCAUAACCCCGGGAAACUGGGGAUAAUUCCGGAUAACGCAUAUGUGCUGGAAUGCUUUAUGCGUAAAAUGGAUUCGUCCGCCCAAGGAUGGGUCUGCGGCCUAUCAGGUAGUAGUGGGUGUAAUGUACCUACUAGCCGACAACGGGUACGGGUUGUGAGAGCAAGAGCCCGGAGAUGGAUUCUGAGACAUGAAUCCAGGCCCUACGGGGCGCAGCAGGCGCGAAAACUUUACAAUGCGGGAAACCGUGAUAAGGGGACACCGAGUGUCAGCAUCAUAUGCUGGCUGUCCAGGUGUGUAAAAUACACCUGUUAGCAAGGGCCGGGCAAGACCGGUGCCAGCCGCCGCGGUAACACCGGCGGCCCGAGUGGUGAUCGUGAUUAUUGGGUCUAAAGGGUCCGUAGCCGGUUUGGUCAGUCCUCCGGGAAAUCUGAUAGCUCAACUAUUAGGCUAUCGGGGGAUACUACCAGACUUGGAACCGGGAGAGGUAAGAGGUACUACAGGGGUAGGAGUGAAAUCUUGUAAUCCCUGUGGGACCACCUGUGGCGAAGGCGUCUUACCAGAACGGGUUCAACGGUGAGGGACGAAAGCUGGGGGCACGAACCGGAUUAGAUACCCGGGUAGUCCCAGCCGUAAACGAUGCUCGCUAGGUGUCAGGCAUGGCGCGACCGUGUCUGGUGCCGCAGGGAAGCCGUGAAGCGAGCCACCUGGGAAGUACGGCCGCAAGGCUGAAACUUAAAGGAAUUGGCGGGGGAGCAC